UACGAAGGGGGGCUAGCGUUGUUCGGAAUUACUGGGCGUAAAGCGCACGUAGGCGGACAUUUAAGUCAGGGGUGAAAUCCCGGGGCUCAACCCCGGAACGGCCUUUGAUACUGGGUGUCUUGAGUUCGGAAGAGGUGAGUGGAAUUGCGAGUGUAGAGGUGAAAUUCGUAGAUAUUCGCAGGAACACCAGUGGCGAAGGCGGCUCACUGGUCCGAUACUGACGCUGAGGUGCGAAAGCGUGGGGAGCAAACAGG
rnacentral:rRNA from 1 species